rnacentral:tRNA from 1 species
AGCCUAUUAGCUCAAUUGGUCGAGCACUUCAAACCAAUACAAAGAGAAUGUAGGUUCAAAUCCUACAUAGGCUA